AACAUUUUAAACGAUUCUGUAGUGAAUGAAUCCUGCUCACUCUUUCAAAGUGCUUCACACAUUUCCCCACAAUUCCAGCAACACACAGGGGUCAGAGGUCAAACUGAGCUGACAAACACUCCACUGAGGAUUCUUACUGCAGGUGACCCCCGACUGCUUCCUGUACACACACACACACACACACACACACACACACACGCCCACACCCACUCACAAACACACACACACACACCCUCCCUCUCUCUCUCACACCCACACCUACACACACACUCACACUCACACUCUCACUCACACACACACUCUCACUCUCUCUCUCUCUCACACCCCCACACACUCACUCCCUCUCUCUCUCUCUCACACCCCCACACACUCACACUCUCACUCACACACACACUCACACCCACUCACUCUCUCUCACUCACACCCCCCCCCUCUCUCUCUCACCCACACACACUCUCUCACUCUCACACACACACACUUACACACACACUCACUCUCACUCUCUCACACACACACUCCCACUCCCUCACACACACAAACUCCCUCCCUCUCUCACUCUCACACACACACUCUCACACACACACACACGCACGCUCACCGUCAAACACACACACACACACCCCCACUCCCUCCCGCACACACACACACACUCUCGCGCUCACACACACACACACUCUCCCUCCCUCUCUCUCUCUCUCUCACACACACUCACACACACACUCUCUCUCACACACACUCUCUCCCUCCCCCACACACCCACACACACUCCCUCACACACACACACGCACACCCACACACACACUCUCACACACACACUCCCCCCCCCUCUCUCUCUCUCACACACACCCACUCUCUCCCUCACACACACACUCACACACACACACCCACACCCACACACUCUCCCUCCCUCUCUCUCGCUCACACACACACACACCCCCCCUCCCACUCUCUCCCCCACACACCCACACACACACCCACUCUCUCCCUCACACACACCCACCCACACACACCCACACCCUCUCACUCUCUCACACACACUCACACACACACUCACUCUCGCUCUCUCACACACACACGCUCCCUCCCUCUCUCUCGCUCACACACACACACACAUUCACUCUCUCUCUCACACACACGCACACUCUCUCUCUCUCACCCACACACACACACCCGCACACACACACUCUCACACACACACACCCUACCUCACACACACACCCACACCCUCUCACUCUCUCACACACACUCUCUCCCUCACACACACACACACCCACUCACACACUCUCUCGCUCACACACACACACACUCUCCCUCACACACACACUCACACUCACACUCUCACUCACACACACACUCACACACACUCACACACACACUCACUCUCUCACACACACGCACCCCCUCCCUCUCUCUCUCACACCCACACCUACACACACACUCACACUCUCACACACACCCACUCUCUCCCUCACACACACCCACCCACACACACCCACACACCCACACCCACACACUCUCCCUCCCUCUCUCUCGCUCACACACACACACACACUAACACACACACACUCCCUCUCUCUCACACACACACUCACACACACUCACACACACUCACACACACUCACACACACACACCCACUCACACACUCUCUCGCUCACACACACACACACACGCACGCUCACCGUCAAACACACACACACACACAAACACUCUCUCUCACACACACUCUCUCCCACACACACCCCCAUACACACACACUCACCCUCUCCCUCACACACCCCCACACACUCACACUCUCACACACACCCACUCUCUCUCUCUCUCCCACACACACAAACACACACACAAACACACUCUCUCUCUCACACACACACACUCUCACACACACACACUCUCUCCCUCACACACACACACACUCUCUCUCACACACACACUCUCUCCCUCACACACACACACUGAACUGGCCUGUAAAGUGGCGUGAAAAAAGGGAACUGGUGUGA
ensembl:lncRNA